CAUUAUACCAGGUAGAAUGACAAAUGAGGUGUCAAAUGAAAGCUUAUAAUCCAAGGAUGGUACUAAAGGUGAGAUAUUUGACCUAGGCGGUCUGUGCGUCGGUCCGUACGACCGCGAAUAUAACUUCUCCGUCAUUAUACCAGGUAGAAUGACAAAUGAGGUGUCAAAUGAAAGCUGAUAAUCCUAGGAUUGUACUAAAGGUGAGAUAUUUGACCUAGGCGGUCUGUGCGUCGGUCCCUCCGACCGCGAAUAUAACUCCUCCGUCAUUAUACCAGGUAGAAUGACAAAUGAGGUGUCAAAUGAAAGCUUAUAAUCCAAGGAUGGUACUAAAGGUGAGAUAUUUGACCUAGGCUGUCUUUCCGUCGGUCCGUACGACCGCGAAUAUAACUUCUCCGUCAUUAUACCAGGUAGAAUGACAAAUGAGGUGUCAAAUAAAAGCUGAUAAUCCAAGGAUGGUACUAAGGUGAGAUAUUUGACCUGGGCAAUCUUUCCGUCGGUCCGUAGGACCGCCAAUGUAACUCCUCUGCCAUUAUACCGGGUAGAAUCACAAAUGAGGUGACAAAUGUCAAAGUUUAGUAAGAAUGACUCAACAUUAGUAAAUUCGUAUAUCAAUCCACGCAAAGUUACACGUAAAAUUCAAAUAUCGUCUUCCAGUUCUACUUUCGAUUACUUUGGGUGAAAACCUACGACUUACGAAGUCCAAUUACUUGUUUAGAAAUUGAAAAAUGUUUUCAUUGUUUUUCCAAAUAUUGACUGUUACAAGACAUAAUAUACACUUCAUAAACCAUAUAGCCGACAAUGAGCCAUGCUUACCUAGCAGUCUCCAUGUUAACACCCAUAGCAGCGAACACGAUGGCAAAGUUGUCUUCG